AAAUACGUGCUAUGUGUUUAUAUGUUAUUUGUCUAUUUGAGAUGGACAUGGAAAUUGGAGUUUUAUACAGGUGUUAAAUGAUUUAAACUGUGUAAGUAUUUAUAUCUACAAAAUUGUUGGGUAGAACAUGGGUAGAUGGGAUAGUUGGUGACUAUGGAGUUAGCGCCUGCUGUUAGAUAAACCUUGGUGACUAUGGAGUUAGCGCCUGCUGUUAGAUAAACCUUGGUGACUAUGGAGUUAGCGCCUAUUAUUAGAUAAACCUUGGUGACUAUGGAGUUAGCGCCUUUUGUAUAAACCUUGGUGACUAUGGAGUUAGCGCCUAUUGCAUAAACCUUGGCGACGAUGUGACUUCGUGCCUAUUUGAUGAACCUUGGCGACUAUGGAGUUAGCGCUUGUUAAGUAAACCUUGGCGACUAUGGAGUUAGCGCUUGUUAAGUGAACCUUGGUGACUAUGGAGUUAGCAUCGCUUGAGUAAACCCCGACGACUAUGGAGUUAGCGUCUGAUAACUAUGGAUUUAGUACUCGAUAGAUAAACUUUGGCA
rnacentral:lncRNA from 1 species